rnacentral:rRNA from 1 species
GAUGAACGCUAGCUACAGGCUUAACACAUGCAAGUCGAACGAAGCACCUUGAUUUGAUUCUUCGGAUGAAGAUCUUGGUGACUGAGUGGCGGACGGGUGAGUAACGCGUGGGUAACCUGCCUCAUACAGGGGGAUAACAGUUAGAAAUGACUGCUAAUACCGCAUAAGACCACAGCACCGCAUGGUGCAGGGGUAAAAACUCCGGUGGUAUGAGAUGGACCCGCGUCUGAUUAGGUAGUUGGUGGGGUAACGGCCUACCAAGCCGACGAUCAGUAGCCGACCUGAGAGGGUGACCGGCCACAUUGGGACUGAGACACGGCCCAAACUCCUACGGGAGGCAGCAGUGGGGAAUAUUGCACAAUGGGGGAAACCCUGAUGCAGCGACGCCGCGUGAGCGAUGAAGUAUUUCGGUAUGUAAAGUUCUAUCAGCAGGGAAGGAAAUGACGGUACCUGACUAAGAAGCCCCGGCUAACUACGUGCCAGCAGCCGCGGUAAUACGUAGGGGGCAAGCGUUAUCCGGAUUUACUGGGUGUAAAGGGAGCGUAGACGGCAUGGCAAGCCAGAUGUGAAAGCCCGGGGCUCAACCCCGGGACUGCAUUUGGAACUGUCAGGCUAGAGUGUCGGAGAGGAAAGCGGAAUUCCUAGUGUAGCGGUGAAAUGCGUAGAUAUUAGGAGGAACACCAGUGGCGAAGGCGGCUUUCUGGACGAUGACUGACGUUGAGGCUCGAAAGCGUGNGGAGCANACAGG